rnacentral:rRNA from 1 species
GAUGAACGCUGGCGGCGUGCCUAACACAUGCAAGUCGAGCGAUUUUCUUCGGAGAAGAGCGGCGGACGGGUGAGUAACGCGUGGGUAAACCUGCCCUGUACACACGGAUAACAUACCGAAAGGUAUGCUAAUACGAGAUAACAUACUUUUAUCGCAUGGUAGAAGUAUCAAAGCUUUUGCGGUACAGGAUGGACCCGCGUCUGAUUAGCUAGUUGGUAAGGUAACGGCUUACCAAGGCGACGAUCAGUAGCCGACCUGAGAGGGUGAUCGGCCACAUUGGAACUGAGACACGGUCCAAACUCCUACGGGAGGCAGCAGUGGGGAAUAUUGCACAAUGGGCGAAAGCCUGAUGCAGCAACGCCGCGUGAGCGAUGAAGGCCUUCGGGUCGUAAAGCUCUGUCCUCAAGGAAGAUAAUGACGGUACUUGAGGAGGAAGCCCCGGCUAACUACGUG